rnacentral:rRNA from 1 species
GUCCACGCCGUAACGAUGAAUACUAGGUGUUGGGAGCAAAGCUCUUCGGUGCCGCCGCAAACGCAUUAAGUAUUCCACCUGGGAGUACGUUCGCAAGAAUGAACUCAAAGGAAUUGACGGGACCCGCACAAGCGGUGGAGCAUGUGGUUAAUUCGAAGCAACGCGAAGAACCUUACCAAGUCUUGACAUCCCUCUGACCGACUCUUAACCCGAGUCUUUCCUUCGGGGACAGGGGAGACAGGUGGUGCAUGGUUGUCGU